UACGUAGGUGGCAAGCGUUAUCCGGAAUUAUUGGGCGUAAAGCGCGCGUAGGCGGUUCGUUAAGUCUGAUGUGAAAGCCCCCGGCUCAACCGGGGAGGGUCAUUGGAAACUGGCGGACUUGAGUGCAGAAGAGGAGAGUGGAAUUCCAUGUGUAGCGGUGAAAUGCGCAGAGAUAUGGAGGAACACCAGUGGCGAAGGCGGCUCUCUGGUCUGCAACUGACGCUGAGGUGCGAAAGCGUGGGGAUCAAACAGGAUUAGAUACCCUCGUAGUCC
rnacentral:rRNA from 1 species